rnacentral:rRNA from 1 species
GACGAACGCUGGCGGCGUGCUUAACACAUGCAAGUCGAACGAAGUGGCGAACGGGUGAGUAACGCGUAAUCAACCUGCCCUUCAGAGGGGGACAACAGUUGGAAACGACUGCUAAUCCCGCAUACUGAAGGAGGGGAUUGCGUGUGAGUGGCUAGUUGGAGGGGUAACGGCCCACCAAGGCGAGGAGCAGUAGCCGGUUGGAGAGGAUGAACGGCCAAAUUGGGAAUGAGACACGGCCCAAGCUUCUAAGGGGAGCCGCAGUUGGGAAUCUUCCGCAAUGGAGGGAAGUCUGGCGGAGCAACGCCGGGUGAGUGAUGACGGCCUUCGGGUUGUAAAGCUCUGUUAAUCGGGACGCGUUACCGGAAGAGAAAGCCACGGCUAACUACGUGCCAGCAGCCGCGGUAAUAC